GAUUUAUAAUCCAUUUGUGUGUUAUGUUAUAUUACAAUUAGUCAACUAGUGGUUGUAAAUAAAAAGUCAUUUUGUAUUGCCGCCAUGCCACAGGACCCCAUUAUCUCCUUCCCUUUCUUUCCCUACAUUUUCUCUAUCUGGCAAAGUUUAUGUAAUGGGGUUCUUUCGUAUGUGUUCUAUCUCUAUCCAUUGCAUGUACUAAAUUAAAAGAAAGAUUGUAUCGAGAGGAAACAAGUUAAGAUCUCUUUUUUUUUUUUUUUUUGUUCUUCUAGUGAUACUACUAGUAGCAGUCAAGUUUAGGGUGUGAAAAUAUAUGUUCAACACAAUUCAAAGAUAACCUUCAAACCCUAAUCGUAUCUCACAACAGAUUCAAUAUUUAGACGUUGUGAAUUCUUAGUUUUUGUGGUAAAGUUUUAAGGGUUUGUGUUGUUUUCUUUUUGUAUAAAAGGGGUUUAUCUUUGGUUUCAGAUCUGAUUUGGCAUAUGUAUAUGGUCAUGUGAAAGGGUUUUCUUGAUGGUGUGAAGCAAAAAGAGAAUGGGAGACAGAGAGAAUCAAGACUGACAGAAGAGAGUGAGCACACGCAGACAAAUUGUAUAAAGAUUUAUAUCAUUGUUAUUUGCGUGUGCUCACUUCUCUUUCUGUCACCUCUCUCUCUAUGCUUUAUUUUCCCUCAUUUCCUUGGUUCCACCACUUAAGAGGAGUGGAAAGAGUUCAGAUAAAUCUCGCCUUAAGAUCUUAUCAAGGGGUAAGGUUUGCGACUCUGCUCGUACGCCACCACUUCAGACUUCAGGGAUUACAUUUAAUAUGUUAUUAUUUUUAUAGUAUUUUAUCAUGGCUUCUUUACUUUUGUCACUCCUUAUUUGACCUUUUUUGUCACUUCUUAUUAUAUGUUGCUAUUAAUGUCUAUUAUUAUUGUUGUCUUGGUACCUUUUCUUGAGCCGAGGGUCUGUCGGAAACAGUUUUCCUACCUCCCAAGUUAGAAAUAAGGUCUACGUACACUCUACCCUCCCCAGACCUACCAUGUGAGAGUAUAUUGGGUAUGUUGUUGUUGUUGUUGUUGUUGUUAUUUGACCCUUUUUUGUCAUGCUUUUUCCUGAGCCAAGAGUUCGGAAACAGGCUCUCUACCUCCUAAGGUAGAGGUAAGGUCCUCCCAAACCCCACCGGGUAUGUUGUUGUUGUUGUUGUAUUGAAUAUGUUAUCAUUUUAUAACAAAUGAUGAACUCCUAUAAAAAUUUUGUUUCCACUACUAGCAGAGGCGACUCUAAGUAUAUAACUCAACCUCUAAUCAAAUGCACCAUUUAACUUUUUUAUAGCAUGUGUUCCAACAUAUAGUAUUAUACUAAUUUUAGAAAAUAUAUACAUAAAAUGUCUAGUUUUACAAAGAGACCAUCUGUUUACGUGCUCCAUUUUUUACCCCUAAAAUCGCCCCCGGCUACUAACCAUCUAUAUCAUAAUAUUUGUUGAAGCAGCAUACAUGUAAGAUGAUGUAUAUUUUUCAAUAAACUCUAUAUGUUUCUAUCUCUUCUUGUGUUAAGCUAACAUCCGUCUGAAGAAAAUAAACAGUAAAGCUAAGCUAUAGAUGGAUUACUGCUGAUGGACACGACAUUUCAAUAACUUUAUUGAAUCUCCCCUUCUUUAUCUCUAUAUAUGACACCUUGCACACACACACAAAAGAAAAAGACACAUUGCACCACAAUAUAAUUGCCACUCAAUGUAAUAUUUUUUUGAGAUUAGACAGAAAAAAGAAGAAGAAGAAGAUGAAGUUUAUCAAAAAUUCUGAGGUUCAGAUCAGGUAAGUGUCUGAGGUUUUUGGGGUUCCUUUUUGUAUGUAAUAAUUCUGCUAAUUAAAUAUUGUACUUAGCGUGUCCUUUCAUGUACUUAUAAUUAUAUCGCUGAUUAAAGAGGACGAGUGUAGAUUUGAGAGGUACGCCUGUUAUACUGUUCUAUCUCAACGGAAAAUUAAUUUCUUUUGCUAAAAUCUAGAAAGAAAAAAAAAAAGAAGAAAUCAACCACUGUUCUAGAUCUAACAGAAAAUUUUCCCGUUUCUUCUCUUUUCUUGGUUUUGCUCUUGACAAUCUUGCUUUUUCUUGCUUUAUUUUUCCUGCUAUGGGGUGUAAUCUGAGACUUGAAAUGAGCCUGAAGUGUCAUGAUGACCGCCUUGAAGUACAAUUUUCAUCUAUAUGUGAAGGCUAGGCUAUUAUAAGUGGCAUUGCUCUCACGAUCCAUUGCGAUUGACCCUUUCUUACCCCGAUUAAAGAAAAAGGACUAAAGUGAGCACAAACUUCCUGGUAAAAGGAUUACUCUUUCAGAAUAUUUGUAUUUACAUUUAAAGAUAGUCUUUUAACUUGAUGAAUCUGUGGAUUCCUUUUUUUCUUUUUGUUGAGUAUGAGGGAUUUAGUUAAAUUUAUGUGGGUUCUUGUAAUAUUUUAUGUAGGUUUGAAUAUGAUUCUUAUUGUUGAUAAGAUUUUGUUUCCUUUUAGAAGAUAUACACAAUAUCCAGUCUUUGCUAUGAAGUGUGGAGAAAAUUUUCCAUGUAGAGCCAUUAAUAUUGCCUGAUGGUGGGAACAUCAAGCAGCUUUUUGGGGAAAUUAACUUUGCUUUAUGCAGGCAUGUUGAGAGGGAUGAUGAUGUUAGUUGUCACUAUGGCGCUUUGCAUGAACCUCAAGGUGAACUAUAGGCAUGUCGAGCAUUUCAUGUCAACGAUAAGAAUAAGCACAGCCAGAGCCAAGUGCAUGAGGUUAUAUUGGCUUUAUUGAUUAACUUCUUGAUAUGGCUUGGGUCGAAAUACUGAAAUACAUGGAUAAAAUUCAGCGCACCAUUGCUUCAAAUAUAAUAAGAUCAGCGUGGAAACUGAAGUACCUCAUCGGGUGCUACCAGAGAAUUAUAUAGUCGAUUUCAACUUGUUUGGUAUUGAGGCAUACUUACAGUUGGUUGGUGUACAAUAUCAAUAAUUAGUAGUGAUGGAGAUCGAAGCACAAUUUUAGUACCUCGAAGAUGAUUCGUGUCUAACCAAGUUGAAGGACUAGUCAGAGGGUUCAAUUUCUAGAUUAUGGUUGCACUUGUGACUACACCAAACGUACCAAGCACGCAUAAAUAAUAUGUUACACCAAGAAAUUUUCUGAAAGGAAAGAUCUAUCCCGUCCGUGUUCAUGUGGUAGCAUUUUUUUGUGUUUGUAGAUGGGAAAUUUCGUGUCUAACCAAGUUGAAGAAUUAGCUAUAUGAAUUCUCUAUGUACUGUGUUAUGAAUUCUCUGUACCUGUACUGUUUUAUGAAUCAUCUAUAAUUAUAUACUUUAGGAACUCUUGUAAAGAUUACUAUAUAUAGGUAAGAUCAUUUAUAUCUGAAA